UACGUAGGGCGCAAGCGUUGUCCGGAAUUAUUGGGCGUAAAGAGCUCGUAGGCGGUCUGUUACGUCCGCUGUGAAAACCCAGGGCUUAACCCUGGGCUUGCAGUGGAUACGGGUAGACUAGAGGCAGGUAGGGGAGAAUGGAAUUCCCGGUGUAGCGGUGAAAUGCGCAGAUAUCAGGAGGAACACCGAUGGCGAAGGCAGCUCGCUGGGACGGUACUGACGCUGAGGCGCGAAAGCGUGGGGAGCAAACAGG
rnacentral:rRNA from 1 species